CAACAAGCGGUUGGCCAUUUUCUUAGUCCUACUUCUGCGGUUUCUUUCUCCAAGAGCUUCUGGAGGCUGUGUUUUUGAAAGAGCUUCUGAUUAAGAGCUGUGAAUGCUGUUCAUCUUUAAUUCCUUGCUGACUCCCCAAGUGCUGUCUGGGAUGCCUUAAAUACUUUUAGUAAAACCAUUAGUGCAACUAUUUGCAUUUGGUCCCGCCCAUCCUGACAAGAUCCCAAGUUGGCCCUACAGGAGAUGUAGACUUGAAUACAUUCUUCUCUGAGUAGAAGGAAACCCUGAGAUACUGAAAACGUGAUACCAACUCGGAGACAGCUGGACGAGCAGAAGUAUCGCUGCAGUGCAACAUUAUUCAGAUUGAUCCAGGGCUCGCC